rnacentral:tRNA from 1 species
GCCUGGCUGGCUCAGUUGGUGGAGCUUCUGACUCUUGAUCUCAAGGUUGUGAGUUUGAGCCCCACACUGGGUG